rnacentral:rRNA from 1 species
GACAGAGGGUGCAAACGUUGUUCGGAAUUACUGGGCGUAAAGCGCGUGUAGGCGGCUUGGCAAGUCGGGUGUGAAAGCCCCGGGCUCAACCUGGGAAGUGCACUCGAAACUGCUUGGCUUGAGUACUGGAGAGGGAAGCGGAAUUCUCGGUGUAGAGGUGAAAUUCGUAGAUAUCGAGAGGAACACCGGUGGCGAAGGCGGCUUCCUGGACAGUUACUGACACUCAACUACGAAAGCGUGGGAGCAAACAGG